CUGAAGGACAAGUAGAUAAACAGGUUCAUGUGAAGCCCUGUAUGUUGUUGUUUUUUUUCUUUCAAAAGUCUCAUGGAAUGUCGGCCGACAUUGAACAGCACACAUUGGCUGCUACUGUAGGCUGAAUGACAGAACAGCUGUUUACAUGUUGAAGUGUUAUUGGAUGCAUUUUCUCUAUUGUUGUUGAUGGUAGACCCCUCUGGUAGGCCACUCUGGUAGGCCACUCUGGUAGGCCACUCUGGUAGGCCACUCUGGUAGGCCACUCUGGUAGGCCACUCUGGUAGGCCACUCUGGUAGGCCUACAUUAUGAUCACAUAGCCAUAGUAGCCUACUUGACCACUGUUAAAACUAGAGGUCGACCGAUUAAUCGACAUGGCCGAUUUAAUUAGGGCAGAUUUCAAGUUUUCAUAACAAUCGGUAAUUGGCAUUUUUGGACGCCAAUUAUGGCCGAUUACAUUGCACUCCAUGAGGAGACUGAGUGGCAGGCUGAC
ensembl:lncRNA